rnacentral:rRNA from 1 species
UACGGGGGGAGCAAGCGUUGUUCGGAUUUACUGGGCGUAAAGGGCGCGUAGGCGGCCUCCGCAAGUCAAUUGUGAAAUCUCCGGGCUUAACUCGGAAAGGUCAACUGAUACUGCGGGGCUAGAGUGCGGAAGGGGCAACUGGAAUUCUUGGUGUAGCGGUGAAAUGCGUAGAUAUCAAGAGGAACACCUGCGGCGAAAGCGGCUUCCUGGACCAGUACCGACGUUUCAGGCACGAAAGCGUGGGGAGCGAACAGG